CUCCUGCCUCAGCCUCCCGACUAGCUGGGAUUACAGGCAGAGUGGCUCCUCACAGCCUGAAGCUCAUCCUUCUGCACGGGCCGGCCAGGCCAGCACAGAGGCACCGGGGCAGCAGUGCACACAGGUCCCCGGGGACCCCACCAUGUGGACCGGAUGGUGGCUCUGGCCCCUUGUGGCCGUCUGCACUGCAGACUUCUUUCGGGACGAGGCAGAGAGGAUCAUGAGGGACUCCCCUGUCAUUGAUGGGCACAAUGACCUCCCCUGGCAGCUGCUGGAUAUGUUCAACAACCGGCUGCAGGACGAGAGGGCCAACCUGACCACCUUGGCCGGCACACACACCAACAUCCCCAAGCUGAGGGCCGGCUUUGUGGGAGGCCAGGUACCGCCUGCCCUUGCCCUGUGUGGGGUCAUCCCGUCUCCUACCUCGGGCCUGGCUACAGUGUGACCAUCCCUGUGGUGUUCCUCCAGGGUCCCUCGGUGCCCAGGCCGAGGGAGCGCUUCCCAGGGG
rnacentral:sRNA from 1 species